AGGAGAAACACAAGAGCUGAGGGUGAUGUAUACUUUAGUUAAGGAAGGAAGAGGAUUCUGCUAUUAGGUGGAAUGUGGUAACUGUGAGAAAGGAGAGGAGGGGGAAGAGGCAGAGCGAGUGCAAGAGAGGCAGGCGGGGAGGGGGGGAGCUAGGUUGCUGACUCGGAGCUUUGCCGCGGUGAGCUUUGAGCUAGCGACUCUCUGAGCUCUCUGGCUGUGUGUGUCUGUAGGCUGCUGUGGUGCAGACCGUAGCCUAGCCACGUUAGCCUCCUUCCACCACUUCCACAGUUCAGUCAGCCGGCGGCUCCGGUGUGCUUCAGCUGCAGUUAGGCACUACAGUCUGUAAGUGUCUCUGCCUGUAGCUGAGGAUUUCCUUCCGCUGCCAGGAUUCUCUCCUUUUGGCCAAGGCAGAGAGAGAGAAAGAGAGGGACAGAGAGUAAGAGGAGAAGAAGAGGAAGACAGGAGGGGGAAGAGCGACAGCGGGCCGGCAGUGACCUUCGCGGUGUUGUGGCAAAGCAGAGGAGGAGGAACGGCCAUAGGAUCCAUCAGCUGUAAGAGGUUAGUACCGUCUUAUCUCUCUUUCUAUCACUGUUCUUGUAUGCUGUGGCUGAUACUGAACAAGCUCUGUUUAUGUGGUAGUAUGGGUGAAUGACAGGAAAAGAGCCUGGAGAACUAUUAUACGGCCUCUCUUGACUAUUUUUUCCAUAAAUUAUGGUUUAAGAUCCAGAAUGGCUCUCAAUGCUUCUUGUGGGAUUUUAUGGUAGCAGACAACAGUAACAGUGUGUUUUCAGUACACCCACAAGAGCCCUAGAGUAAUACUAGAUUUCUCAUUUCUGGACUGAAAAAGACCUGCAUGCUACAUUUGCGGGCAUUAAGGCAGAACUAGUCAUUCUGGGAAAUGUAAUUCAUUUCUCAAAGUCCCAUAUUGUCCGGACUCUCAAGUUUAUACAUGAGCCUAUCUGGCCUCUACAAAUCCUCAAAAAGUGGAAAUGUUCUUAGCGAGCAGCAGCAGAGGAGCUGUCCUUGGUGCUGAACUCACAAGAGAUUUGAGAGCUGGAAUUUACUGUCUCUGCUUAGGGUUUCUGCUGCAACACUGGGUAAUAAAUGUGCUGUUUGGGACACAUUAUUGUAUCUAAGACAUUAUGAGAAGUCAGUCCUGCUUUUAUGUCGAGUAGACAGUUUGUGGCAUAACUCAGGAGAUUAA
rnacentral:lncRNA from 15 species